AGGCUUAACACAUGCAAGUCGAGGGGCAGCAUUUUAGUUUGCUUGCAAACUGAAGAUGGCGACCGGCGCACGGGUGAGUAACACGUAUCCAACCUGCCGAUAACUCCGGAAUAGCCUUUCGAAAGAAAGAUUAAUACCGGAUAGUAUACGAAUAUCGCAUGGUAUUUUUAUUAAAGAAUUUCGGUUAUCGAUGGGGAUGCGUUCCAUUAGUUUGUUGGCGGGGUAACGGCCCACCAAGACUACGAUGGAUAGGGGUUCUGAGAGGAAGGUCCCCCACAUUGGAACUGAGACACGGUCCAAACUCCUACGGGAGGCAGCAGUGAGGAAUAUUGGUCAAUGGGCGAGAGCCUGAACCAGCCAAGUAGCGUGAAGGAUGAAGGCUCUAUGGGUCGUAAACUUCUUUUAUAUGGGAAUAAAGUUUUCCACGUGUGGAAUUUUGUAUGUACCAUAUGAAUAAGGAUCGGCUAACUCCGUGCCAGCAGCCGCGGUAAUACGGAGGAUCCGAGCGUUAUCCGGAUUUAUUGGGUUUAAAGGGAGCGUAGGUGGAUUGUUAAGUCAGUUGUGAAAGUUUGCGGCUCAACCGUAAAAUUGCAGUUGAAACUGGCAGUCUUGAGUACAGUAGAGGUGGGCGGAAUUCGUGGUGUAGCGGUGAAAUGCUUAGAUAUCACGAAGAACUCCGAUUGCGAAGGCAGCUCACUAGACUGUCACUGACGCUGAUGCUCGAAAGUGUGGGUAUCAAACAGGAUUAGAUACCCUGGUAGUCCACACAGUAAACGAUGAAUACUCGCUGUUUGCGAUAUACAGUAAGCGGCCAAGCGAAAGCAUUAAGUAUUCCACCUGGGGAGUACGCCGGCAACGGUGAAACUCAAAGGAAUUGACGGGGGCCCGCACAAGCGGAGGAACAUGUGGUUUAAUUCGAUGAUACGCGAGGAACCUUACCCGGGCUUAAAUUGCAACAGAAUAUAUUGGAAACAGUAUAGCCGUAAGGCUGUUGUGAAGGUGCUGCAUGGUUGUCGUCAGCUCGUGCCGUGAGGUGUCGGCUUAAGUGCCAUAACGAGCGCAACCCUUAUCUUUAGUUACUAACAGGUGAUGCUGAGGACUCUAGAGAGACUGCCGUCGUAAGAUGUGAGGAAGGUGGGGAUGACGUCAAAUCAGCACGGUCCUUACGUCCGGGGCUACACACGUGUUACAAUGGGGGGUACAGAAGGCGGCUACCUGGUGACAGGAUGCUAAUCCCAAAAACCUCUCUCAGUUCGGAUCGAAGUCUGCAACCCGACUUCGUGAAGCUGGAUUCGCUAGUAAUCGCGCAUCAGCCAUGGCGCGGUGAAUACGUUCCCGGGCCUUGUACACACCGCCCGUCAAGCCAUGAAAGCCGGGGGUACCUGAAGUACGUAACCGCAAGGAGCGUCCUAGGGUAAAACUGGUAAUUGGGGCUAAGUCAUA
rnacentral:rRNA from 1 species